rnacentral:rRNA from 1 species
UACGAAGGGGGCUAGCGUUGUUCGGAUUUACUGGGCGUAAAGCGCACGUAGGCGGAUCGUUAAGUCGGGGGUGAAAUCCUGGAGCUCAACUCCAGAACUGCCUUUGAUACUGGCUAUCUUGAGUACGGAAGAGGUAUGUGGAACUCCGAGUGUAGAGGUGAAAUUCGUAGAUAUUCGGAAGAACACCAGUGGCGAAGGCGACAUACUGGUCCGUUACUGACGCUGAGGCUCGAAAGCGUGGGGAGCAAACAGG